GUGCUUGCUUCGGCAGCACAUUUACUAAAAUUGGAACAAUACAGAGAAGAUUAAUAUGGCCCCUGCACAAGGAUGACAUGCACAUUCGUAAACCGUUCCAUAUUUUU